rnacentral:rRNA from 1 species
AUACGGAGGGUGCGAGCGUUAUCCGGAAUUACUGGGUUUAAAGGGUGCGUAGGCGGCCUGGUAAGUCAGGGGUGAAAGUCCAGGGCUUAACCGUGGGAUUGCCUUUGAUACUGCUGGGCUUGAAUGAGGUUGAGGUGGGCGGAAUGUGGCAUGUAACGGUGAAAUGUGUAGAUAUGCCAUAGAACACCGAUUGCGAAGGCAGCUCGCUGGACCUUUAUUGACGCUGAGGCACGAAAGCGUGGGGAGCGAACAGGAUUAGAAACCCUAGUAGUCC